rnacentral:rRNA from 1 species
UGCGUAGGCGGACUACUAAGUCAGUGGUGAAAUCUUUCGGCUCAACCGAGAAACUGCCAUUGAUACUGUUAGUCUUGAGUUCGGUUGAGGUAGGCGGAAUGUGUAAUGUAGCGGUGAAAUGCUUAGAUAUUACACAGAACACCAAUUGCGUAGGCAGCUUACUAGACCGACACUGACGCUGAGGCACGAAAGCGUGGGGAGCGAACAGGAUUAGAUACCCUGGUAGUC